rnacentral:lncRNA from 1 species
AAUGGCUGCCAGCUCUCCACAGGGCCUCUGACUUCUACCUUUGGUGUCAAAACUCUUGCUUGAAUACACUUAGCAAUUUGAGUUCCCACCCCUACCCCACCCUUGGGUAUAUAUCAGGCCCCUUGCUCAGAUACAAAUAAGGCAGAAGUUGGGCGUUUUCAGCCAUUUGAAAACCAGUACACUCCCCACUGUGGUGUGGUCAGCUGCUAAGUUCCCAUUUUCAACAAACCAACUGGUGCAACUCAAGGUGCAAGGUUUUAAAUAUCCCAGGGGCCCAGAGCAUAGACUCUUGAACAUUUUUUAGCACCGAACAGGCCUGGCCAUGGUGAGCAGUGAAUGCAAGGGCUCUAACUCC